GGAAUUCGAUUAACGCGAAGAACCUUACCUGGGCUAGACAACGGCGGACCGUCCUAGAAAUAGGACUUUCCCUUCGGGGACCGCCGGUUCAGGUGCUGCAUGGCUGUCGUCAGCUCGUGCCGUGAGGUGUUGGGUUAAGUCCCGCAACGAGCGCAACCCUCGUCCUUAGUUGCCACCAUUCAGUUGGGCACUCUAGGGAGACUGCCGUUGACAAAACGGAGGAAGGUGGGGACGACGUCAAGUCAUCAUGGCCCUUAUGUCCAGGGCCACACACGUGCUACAAUGGGCGGUACAAAGGGUCGCAAACCCGCGAGGGGGAGCCAAUCCCAAAAAGCCGCUCUCAGUUCGGAUUGGAGUCUGCAACUCGACUCCAUGAAGUUGGAAUCGCUAGUAAUCGCGGAUCAGCACGCCGCGGUGAAUACGUUCCCGGGCCUUGUCACACCGAAUCACUA
rnacentral:rRNA from 1 species